GGUAAAGUUUGAGCACUUCCGUUGCCUUAAUACUAUGACCAAUGUAGAGCUUGAAGGCUUGGUGUAUUUGUGUUUCUUUGACGACGGAUCUUGGUUUCAGGGUACACUGCUAACCAGGGAUAAAAAACAGUAUGGAGUUAUGGGUGAAGCUUGUGGCCCACCAGAGGAAGGGUUUGCUGAAUGCUGUUUUGAAGAAGAACCAUUAUUUUACAUGAUUACCAUUAUUGACCGACAAGAUGACGAAGAAAAGGUG